UGAAUACGAGACGCUAAGGCGUCGAAGUAGUGUAUGUCAUACUUCCAAGAAAAGCUUGCACUGUCAUAGAUAAAAAACGCCUGUACCAUAACCGACACAGGUGGGUAGGUAGAGUAUACUAAGGGGCGCGAGAUAACUCUCUCUAAGGAACUCGGCAAAAUAACUCCGUAACUUCGGGAGAAGGAGUGCCUUAUUCUUAAGGUUGCAAUAACAAGAUCCAAGCAACUGUUUAUCAAAAACACAGGUCUCCGCUAAGUCGUAAGACGAUGUAUGGGGGCUGACGCCUGCCCAGUGCCAGAAGGUUAAAGAAGCUGGUUAGCAUUUGCGAAGCUAGUAACUGAAGCCCUGGUGAACGGCGGCCGUAACAAUAACGGUCCUAAGGUAGCGAAAUUCCUUGUCGGGUAAGUUCCGACCCGCACGAAAGGCGUAAUGAUUUGGAUACUGUCUCGGAGAGGGGCUCGGUGAAAUAGACUUGUCUGUGAAGAUGCGGACUACCUGCACCAGGACAGAAAGACCCUAUGAAGCUUUACUGUAACUUGAAAUUGAAAUUGGACUUUAUUCGCGCAGUAUAGGUGGGAGGCGUUGAUUAUAAUCUUGCGGGAUUAUUGGAGCCAUUAGUGAGAUACCACUCUUGUAAUGUUAGAUUUCUAACUUUGAAUCAUUAUCUGGUCAAAGAACAGUUUCAGGCGGGCAGUUUGACUGGGGCGGUCGCCUCCUAAACGGUAACGGAGGCGUACAAAGGUUUCCUCUGAACGGUUAGAAAUCGUAUCUAGAGUGUAAAGGCAUAAGGAAGCUUGACUGUGAGACCUACAAGUCGAGCAGGGACGAAAGUCGGUCUUAGUGAUCUGACGGUACUGAGUGGAAAGGCCGUCACUCAACGGAUAAAAGUUACUCUAGGAUAACAGGCUGAUCUCCCCCAAGAGUUCACAUCGACGGGGAGGUUUGGCACCUCGAUGUCGGCUCAUCGCAUCCUGGGGCGGUAGUACGUCCCAAGGGUUGGGCUGUUCGCCCAUGAAAGCGGUACGCGAGCUGGGUUCAGAACGUCGUGAGACAGUUCGGUCCAUAUCCGGUGUAGGCGUUAGAAUAUUGAGAGGAGCCUUCUUUAGUACGAGAGGACCGAGAAGGACAUACCUCUGGUGUACCAGUUAUCGUGCCAACGGUAAACGCUGGGUAGCUAUGUAUGGAGUGGAUAACCGCUGAAAGCAUCUAAGUGGGAAGCCCACCUCAAGAUAAGUAUUCUC
rnacentral:rRNA from 1 species